CUGAAACACGGAUCAAGGAGUCUAGAAUGUUAACGAGUAAAAAGGUUUGUUUUUAAACCUUGUCGCGCAAUGAAAAUAAAGUACAGUCUUUUACAAACAGUACAGGCGAUGAUUCGAACAUUGAAUAAUGUCGAAGCAAUCGCUAGCUCAACCGAUUGUCUGUAUAAGCUCUAUUGUUUUGCAGCACGGUUGUGGACUAGAAGUUGGCAUUGUAGUACCCGAAAGAUGGUGAACUAUGCUUGGCCAAGACGAAACCAGGAGAAAUUCUGGUGGAAGUCUGAAGCGAUUCUGACGUGCAAAUCGAUCGUAUGAGCUGAGUAUAGGGGCGAAAGACUAAUCGAACCAUCUAGUAGCUGGUUCCGUCCGAAAUUUCCCUCAGGAUAGCUGACGCACACAGUACGUAAAGUUUUAUUUGGUAAAGCAAAUGAUUAGAGUUAUUGGGUUUGUCACAAGCUCAAACUAUUCUCAAACUUUAAAUGAGUAAGCAUUGUGCGCUGACAUGUAUGCAAACAAGCUUCGGUUUUGUUUUGUAAGCAGUAGCCAACUGAAUUUGUGUGUCAAGUGGGCCACUUUUGGUAAGCAGAACUGGCGAUGCGGGAUGAACCGCAAGUUGAGAUAAGGUGCCGAAACGAACGCUAAUGAGACACCAUAAAAGGUGUUAAUUGCUCAUGACAGCAGAACGGUGGCCAUGGAAGUUGGCAUCCGCUAAGGAGUGUGUAACAACUCACCUGCCGGA
rnacentral:rRNA from 1 species